rnacentral:rRNA from 1 species
GUCCGAAUAGGGCGACAGUCGCUGGGUGUAGACCCGAAACCAGGUGAUCUACCCAUGGCCAGGAUGAAGGUGCGGUAACACGCCCUGGAGGUCCGAACCCACUAAUGUUGAAAAAUUAGGGGAUGAGCUGUGGGUAGGGGUGAAAGGCUAAACAAACUUGGAAAUAGCUGGUUCUCCGCGAAAGAUAUUUAGGUAUCGCCUCGAGCGAAUACUCUGGGGGGUAGAGCACUGGAUGGGCUAUGGGGACUCACCGUCUUACUGAUCCUAACCAAACUCCGAAUACCGAGGAGCACUAUCUGGCAGACAGACGGCGGGUGCUAACGUCCGUCGUCGAGAGGGAAACAACCCUGACCUCCAGCUAAGGUCCCCAAGUCACGGCUAAGUGGGAAAGCAGGUGGGACGGCCAAAACAACCAGGAGGUUGGCUUAGAAGCAGCCAUCCUUUAAAGAUAGCGUAACAGCUCACUGGUCUAGAUAAGCUGUCCUGCGGCGAAGAUGUAACGGGGCUCAAGCCGUGCACCGAAGCUGAGGAUGCGUAGCGAUACGCGUGGUAGCAGAGCGUGGCG